rnacentral:rRNA from 1 species
UACGUAGGGCGCAAGCGUUGUCCGGAAUUAUUGGGCGUAAAGAGCUCGUAGGUGGCUUGUCGCGUCGGUUGUGAAAGACCCGGGCUUAACUCGGGUUCUGCAUUCGAUACGGGCAGGCUAGAGGUAGGUAGGGGAGAACGGAAUUCCUGGUGUAGCGGUGAAAUGCGCAGAUAUCAGGAGGAACACCGGUGGCGAAGGCGGUUCUCUGGGCCUUACCUGACGCUGAGGAGCGAAAGCGUGGGGAGCGAACAGG